rnacentral:rRNA from 1 species
GAUGAACGCUAGCUACAGGCUUAACACAUGCAAGUCGAGGGGAAACGACAUCGAAAGCUUGCUUUUGAUGGGCGUCGACCGGCGCACGGGUGAGUAACGCGUAUCCAACCUGCCCAUCACUUGGGGAUAACCUUGCGAAAGUAAGACUAAUACCCAAUGAUAUCUCUAGAAGACAUCUGAAAGAGAUUAAAGAUUUAUCGGUGAUGGAUGGGGAUGCGUCUGAUUAGCUUGUUGGCGGGGUAACGGCCCACCAAGGCAACGAUCAGUAGGGGUUCUGAGAGGAAGGUCCCCCACAUUGGAACUGAGACACGGUCCAAACUCCUACGGGAGGCAGCAGUGAGGAAUAUUGGUCAAUGGGCGAGAGCCUGAACCAGCCAAGUAGCGUGGAGGAAGACGGCCCUAUGGGUUGUAAACUGCUUUUAUAAGGGAAUAAAGUGAGAGUCGUGACUCUUUUUGUAUGUACCUUAUGAAUAAGGACCGGCUAAUUCCGUG